GAUGAAUAAAAAGAUAAACAACAAACCAAUUGAUUUUAUCUGUAGCAACUUGAUCGAGUUGGUUGCUUGGCGCGAGCGCUAGCGAUGCGCUUGUCACCGGACUAUGGCCCAGCAGCAGAGAAACAAAACGAACUAACAAAUCAAAUCAAGUUUAUCUCCAUCGAUUGCUUCUGCGCGGCACCGACCUCCUAGACUUUAUUUUCCACCCUAAACAAGGACGUCGUCGGUGAGCGAGAAGACGCGCGUGCGCUUCGGCGGCGCCGCCUAGGUUUGCCAUGGCUGCAGAUUGAUCGUGUUUUUUCAUUCAGAACGGAAGCAGGAGGGAGGAAGAGAGGGAUGGCUGGGGUUACCUUUUGUCGAGCUGAGGGAGCGCCGGCGCCUCCGGUGUCGUCGCCGUCGCUGCCGCGCCG
rnacentral:lncRNA from 1 species